rnacentral:tRNA from 1 species
CCGUCCGUAGCUCAGUGGCCAGAGCGCCCGGCUGUAGACUGGGUUGUCCCCCGUUCGAAUCGAGGUGGGCGGA